rnacentral:rRNA from 1 species
GACGAACGCUGGCGGCGUGCUUAACACAUGCAAGUCGAACGGCGAGGCCGUGCUUUUGUGGGGUGCUCGAGUGGCGAACGGGUGAGUAACACGUGAGUAACCUGCCCUUGACUUUGGGAUAACUUCAGGUAACUGGGGUUAAUACCGGAUCGGAGCUCCUGCUGCAUGGUGGGGGUUGGAACGUUUCGGCGGUUGGGGAUGGAUUAGCGGCUUAUCAGCUUGUUGGUGGGGUAGUGGCUGACCAAGUCUUUGACGGGUAGCCGGCCUGAGAGGGUGACCGGCCACAUGGGGACUGAGAGACGCACCAGACGCCUACGUUAGACAGCAGGGGGGAAUAUUGCACAAUGAGAGGAAGCCUGAGGCAACAACGCCGCGUGCGGGAUGACGGCCUUCGGGUAAUAAACCGCUUUCGCCUAAGACGAAGCGUGAGUGACGGUAAUGGAUAAAGAAGCACCGGCUAACUACGUG